rnacentral:tRNA from 2 species
GGUGAGGUGGCUGAGUGGCCGAAAGCGUCGGAUUACUAAUCCGAAGAACGUGAAAGCGUUCCCUGGGUUCGAAUCCCAGUCUCACUGCCA